GAUGGAUCAGAGGGCCCCUGAAAACAUCUAGAAAAAAGCAGGUAAAGAAAGUUUUUUAUGGUUUGGAUCUUCUGAGAACAUCAGAGAAAGACUGUCCUUCCCAUCCACACUACAACAAAACUUCGGGACCUUGAACUUUGGGUUCAUAAUCUCACAACUGAGAGGGCUCCCUCCAUACUUUUGGAACUGUGCAUCCAUUUGAACCCUUGAGGAGUUUGCAGCCAGCCUUAUACUUCCAUAGAUAAAAGAUGAAGACCCAA